rnacentral:rRNA from 1 species
AUUGAACGCUGGCGGCAGGCCUAACACAUGCAAGUCGAACGCGUGGCGGACGGGUGAGUAAUGUCUGGGAAACUGCCGGCUGGAGGGGGAUAACUACUGGAAACGGUAGAUAAUACCGCAUACCAUCGGCAGUGCCCAGAUGGGAUUCGCUGGUUGGUGGGGUAAAGGCUCACCAAGGCGACGAUCCCUAGCUGGUCUGAGAGGAUGACCAGCCACACUGGAACUGAGACACGGUCCAGACUCCUACGGGAGGCAGCAGGGGGUAAUAUUGCACAAUGGGCGCAAGCCUGAUGCAGCCAUGCCGCGUGUAUGAAGAAGGCCUUCGGGUUGUAAAGUACUUUCAGCGGGGAGGCGUUACCCGCAGAAGAAGCACCGGCUAACUCCGUGCCAGCAGCCGCGGUAAUAC